rnacentral:rRNA from 1 species
AGGCAGCAGUGGGGAAUCUUGCGCAAUGGGCGAAAGCCUGACGCAGCCAUGCCGCGUGAAUGAUGAAGGUCUUAGGAUUGUAAAAUUCUUUCACCGGGGAAGAUAAUGACGGUACCCGGCGAAUAAGCCACGGCUAACUACGUGCCAGCAGCCGCGGUAAUACGUAGGUGGCAAGCGUUGUCCGGAUUUAUUGGGCGUAAAGAGCGCGCAGGCGGUGCGCCAAGUCCGAGGUGAAAUCUCCCGGCUCAACUGGGAGGGGUCUUCGGAUACUGGCGGACUUGAGGAGAGCAGAGGUGAGUGGAAUUCUCGGUGUAGUGGUGAAAUGCGUAGAUAUCGAGAGGAACACCAGCGGCGAAGGCGGCUCUCUGGACCGAUACUGACGCUGAGGCGCGAAAGCGUGGGGAGCAAACAGGAUUAGAUACCCUGGUAGUCCACGCUGUAAACGAUGUGUGCUAGACGUUGGGGAGCCUAGCUCUUCGGUGUCGCAGCUAACGCGGUAAGCACACCGCCUGGGGAGUACGGCCGCAAGGUUAAAACUUAAAGGAAUUGACG